AGUGUGGAGCGUUGGUGAGCGUCUCCUUUUGGAGCUCUGCCUGGAGAGGGGUUUGGACAGCGGUGUGCUGGAAAAAAUAUUUUUAUAAGCUACAAACUACAUACUAUAAACUACAAACUACAAACCUCCGCGCAAUAAGCCACCACUG
ensembl:ncRNA Y40B10A.10 ncRNA